AAGGACUGGAGCCAGGAUCCACCCCUUCUCAGAUCUCAUUUAAGGGCUGGCAGCCCAGGUAGGUGUAUUUUGCUGGAGAUCUUUGUGUGCCUGAGGCCUUCUGAAGAGUGGGUAAAGAGGGCGUUCUGCAUCACAGUCUUGUGCUGUUGCUUCGUAAGAGAGCCAGGAGUAAUACCCUAGCACAGCACAAAAUGGAAGUGGGAAGACGGGAUAAGUUGAAGAUGGGACUAACAUACACAGAUGUUUGAAUGGACUUUAUUCUUCAUUAAAAUACAACUGCUGGUGGGAUUAAGGAAGGAGUAUGUCACCACUGAGAUUAUGAAGCAACUGAAGCAUGGACUCACUCAGCUGCAUACUCCCUGUGUACUUUGGCCAUGUCAUGCAGAGCUCUGGCUGCCAAAGGACUUCAGCAGCUUUCAAACACGUGUUCAGCUACUGCACUUGUUUGAUGUUUUUGUUUUUACCAGGAAAACUGUCUCACUGACUGUGUUAAUCCUUUUCUAGUAUGUGCAUAAAGACAUCUGCGCAUAGUCCACCAGUCCCCUAACUGAUUCUAUAUGCUGUGGUGUGAGGAGAGGUAUGCACAGACUGAACUGGCCUCUGUACAGAAUGAAGUAGCAGUGAUUUGCCUGUUGUGCAACUUCUACUUGUCAAAAUAAUUCCAUGGUACAAUAUUUG
rnacentral:lncRNA from 1 species